rnacentral:rRNA from 1 species
UACGUAGGGGGCAAGCGUUGUCCGGAUUUAUUGGGCGUAAAGAGCGUGUAGGCGGCCACAUAGGUCAGCUGUGAAAACUCGAGGCUCAACCUCGAGACGUCGGUUGAAACCGUAUGGCUAGAGUCCGGAAGAGGAGAGUGGAAUUCCCGGUGUAGCGGUGAAAUGCGCAGAUAUCAGGAGGAACACCAAUGGCGAAGGCAGCUCGCUGGGACGGUACUGACGCUGAGACGCGAAAGCGUGGGGAGCAAACAGG